CUCUCCGUAACUCCUCCCCCGAUUAUUGUGGGAGGAGCCACCAACACCACCACCACCUCCAACCUCCCUCAGCUGUCAACUCAUCCGCUCGAUCCACCACCGCCACCACCACCACAGCCACCACCACCACAACCACCACGGCUAUGGCGUCUCUCGUGCACGCCCUGGACUGCGUCUUCACGCCCAGCCCAGGCGCUUGUGAGGAAGUCCUGGCGUGCGUCCAAAGGGUUCUAGGCGAGGCAGGCUUCAGGGGCUCAGCCCAGGCCCUGGGGCCAGGGCCUGGAGCCUGCGGCUCACUCAGCGGGGACGGAGAAACGUGUGCGUGUUUGUGUGUGUAGGUGUG